rnacentral:rRNA from 1 species
GAUAAACGCUGGCGGCGUGCCUAAUACAUGCAAGUCGAGCGAACAGACGAGGAGCUUGCUCCUCUGACGUUAGCGGCGGACGGGUGAGUAACACGUGGAUAACCUACCUAUAAGACUGGGAUAACUUCGGGAAACCGGAGCUAAUACCGGAUAAUAUAUUGAACCGCAUGGUUCAAUAGUGAAAGACGGUUUUGCUGUCACUUAUAGAUGGAUCCGCGCCGCAUUAGCUAGUUGGUAAGGUAACGGCUUACCAAGGCAACGAUGCGUAGCCGACCUGAGAGGGUGAUCGGCCACACUGGAACUGAGACACGGUCCAGACUCCUACGGGAGGCAGCAGUAGGGAAUCUUCCGCAAUGGGCGAAAGCCUGACGGAGCAACGCCGCGUGAGUGAUGAAGGUCUUCGGAUCGUAAAACUCUGUUAUUAGGGAAGAACAAAUGUGUAAGUAACUAUACACGUCUUGACGGUACCUAAUCAGAAAGCCACGGCUAACUACGUG